rnacentral:rRNA from 1 species
UACGGAGGAGGCAAGCGUUAUCCGGAAUAUUGGGCGUAAAGCGUCCGCAGGUGGCACCUCAAGUCUGCUGUCAAAGACCGGGGCUUAACCCCAGAAAGGCAGUGGAAACUGAAGUGCUAGAGUGCAGUAGGGGUAGAGGGAAUUCCCGGUGUAGCGGUGAAAUGCGUAGAGAUCGGGAAGAACAUCGGUGGCGAAAGCGCUCUGCUGGACUGCAACUGACACUCAGGGACGAAAGCUAGGGGAGCGAAUGGG